CCUACGGGAGGCAGCAGUGAGGAAUAUUGGUCAAUGGACGAGAGUCUGAACCAGCCAAGUAGCGUGAAGGAUGACUGCCCUAUGGGUUGUAAACUUCUUUUAUAUGGGAAUAAAAUGUUCCACGUGUGGGAUUUUGUAUGUACCAUAUGAAUAAGGAUCGGCUAACUCCGUGCCAGCAGCCGCGGUAAUACGGAGGAUCCGAGCGUUAUCCGGAUUUAUUGGGUUUAAAGGGAGCGUAGGUGGAUUGUUAAGUCAGUUGUGAAAGUUUGCGGCUCAACCGUAAAAUUGCAGUUGAAACUGGCAGUCUUGAGUACAGUAGAGGUGGGCGGAAUUCGUGGUGUAGCGGUGAAAUGCUUAGAUAUCACGAAGAACUCCGAUUGCGAAGGCAGCUCACUGGACUGCAACUGACGCUGAGGCGCGAAAGCGUGGGUAGCAAACAGGAUUAGAUACCCUAGUAGUC
rnacentral:rRNA from 1 species